rnacentral:lncRNA from 1 species
AUAAAUUCAUUCUUUUACUAAAAUUUGUAAGAAUUCACCUUUGGACCUUUUUUGGGAUGUUCAUAUUAGACAAACUCAAUCUUUUAUUCUUAUUUGGGUAUACCGUACCAUGAAAUUUAGAUUAGGAGAGACAUGCUAAGAAGAACCACAAACCUCUACAAAAAUUUGCAAUAGAAUUGUAUGACCUGCCAAUGCAGAAACUGUGACUUGUAUCCAAGUGUGAGCAAGAGGUCCAAUCAUGUAUGUCAACUCUGUUGAUAUCACAAUGAUAUUAAAUUGAUAUAAGAAUGAGAUCUUAGAACAUAAUUUAGUGUCAUAAAUAUAAAUCAGGUAUGAAAACAAAAUGAUUAGAAAAAUAAAUAUAUGAAUAAAUCAUUGAGAUUUGUUAUAAAAAUAUCAUUUUAACAAUACAAUGUUAGAAACUUAAAAUCAAUAGAUACAUUUCCUUACAGAUCAAAAAUAAUUAAGCUAUAUUCUUGUCUUUUCAUUUUUGGCAAACUAAAACUAAAAUCAGGGUGGCAUAAACGUUCAUGUGUGUUUGGAAUCAUGCACAAAUCAUGGUGACACAGUAAUCUAUUAAAACUCUAAACUGUAGUUUUUAUCAAAAUUACAGUAUCUAAUUUCAAACAUGCACUCUAUAGUCCUAGCUUUUGGAUUCCCUUUUCAACUUGCCUGUUUCUACCAAAACCAUUCCAAAAUAAUUAGGGUCACAUUGCUCUAAAAGUCAAUAAGAAUUGGUAGUAAUUCAAAUACAGCCAGCCAGCCUUAUAGUAUAAUUUAAUAUGGAUGUAUGCAUAUUUCCUAGAAGGUGAGUCUCAAGGGACAAGUUAACUAAUCAAGAUGCUUUAAAAAUUUAACUAUAAAAUGGGGUUGCACCACCAGCAUUCUUCCACACUCCACAGAAACAAAACAAACUUGUAAGAAAAAAUGAGGUCCCAAAUGGCCUCUACUCUCACUCUUGCAUUAGCAAUCCUCUUCAUCAGUUUUGCAGCUGAAACUUCCGCAAACCAGUACUCUUAUUCCUCUCCACCACCACCAGUGCACACUUACCCCCAUCCAACCCCAUCACCAGUCUACCAUUCUCCACCACCACCAGUGCACACCUAUCCUCAUCCAACUCCAUCCCCAGUCUACCACUCUCCACCACCACCGGUUCACACCUAUCCUCACCCACACCCAGUCUACCACUCCCCACCACCACCACCACNNNNNNNNNNNNNNNNNNNNNNNNNNNNNNNNNNNNNNNNNNNNNNNNNNNNNNNNNNNNNNNNNNNNNNNNNNNNNNNNNNNNNNNNNNNNNNNNNNNNNNNNNNNNNNNNNNNNNNNNNNNNNNNNNNNNNNNNNNNNNNNNNNNNNNNNNNNNNNNNNNNNNNNNNNNNNNNNNNNNNNNNNNNNNNAAACCCUACACCCCACACCCUUACCCUCACCCUCACCCAGUCUACCACUCUCCACCACCACCAGUUCACACCUACCCCCCUCACGUUCCCACCCCUUACCCUCACCCUCACCCAGUCUACCAUUCUCCUCCUCCUCCAGUCUCUUCCCCACCUCCACCACACUAUUACUACAAAUCCCCUCCUCCACCUUACCACCACUAGAUAGCCUAUACUUGGCAUCACACCACAUGGUAAAUUUUCAUGCAAAAUAUAUUAUAAUAUUAACAAUUACAAUAUUUCCUUUCACAAAUCAAAACAUAUUCUCUCAUUAUUAACUAAGUAACAGUAUAAUUGUCCAGUAUAAAUGCAAUCCUAAUUUAAAAUGAAACUUCAUGUGCAAUGAAACAUUCUUUUACUGUUUAAUGAUUUAGUAUCCAUUUCUUUUAAAUCAAUCUUGGUCUUAUAGUUUUUGGUUAUUAAGGGAUUAGAGUAUCAAACAUAAACUGACAGAUCAAUAUAUAUUUGGAUUUUUGUAGGAUCUAAACAGAAAGUGUGAAAGCAAAGAAAGUCAUGCACAAAGAAGAUCAAGGGGGAUUCUUCACGUAUAUUUCGUCAAAUGUUUGAAUAUUAUUGUUUAGCGGGCUGCUUUUAUUUAUUUAAUUUGUGUAUUUUGUUGUAUUAGCCACAGCUGUAAGGCACUGCCCCACCAUGCAUGUGUCUGCAGUUGUUUGCAUGAAUUGUGUAUUUUUCAAAGUUCGGUUUUGCAUCAAGCUGACUGACAAGCCAAAUAAAUAUAUAUAUAUCCCCUAUUAUAGAAAUAUUUCCCUUGCAUCUAUAGCUCUUUUCUAUUAUUCUUGUGAUAAUAAUAAUAAUCUAUGUUUAUUUGUUUGUACUAUUAUUUUUGGUUUACCUUUCUCGGUACAAAUCAGUUUUAGUUUAAAAGUGAAUCUAGCCAUUUUAAAAGAAUAUUGCUUCUCAAAAGAAGGAAGAAAAAGAAACCAUUUUAUAAGUGAACUAAGACUCGUGUCUCAAUGUGUGUUUUUUCUUUUAACGACAAAGAUUUAUAAUAAUAUAAACAAGAGUACUCCAACUCACUACAAAAAGAGGUGCAACACUUCAAACGAAAAAAUAGCACACACCAUGAGCACUACUACAGAGUCACUAGAGAGGAACUACAUCAUAAGUCAUAACCCCUCAAUAAGGACAAUGUGUGUAGUUUGUACUUGUGCCUAUGGAAGUGUUUCUCCAAGUCUCAAUGUGUAUAGUUUAACCCCAUCAAAAAAGAAAACAAAUACUCCCUUAUCCACUAACACUAAGUAUCCAAACAGACAUCCCUCGUUCCAACCAUCUAUGUAUUGAAAUUCGAUACAAAUAGCAGCAAAACAUCCAAGUACAAAAAUCAAAUUGUUUUAGUUUUAUCACAGAAUCAAACCAAAAUGUGGGAAGUUGUCAAAAUAUUAUAUUUCCUCCAAUAAGUGCAUUUUAUCCUUCACCAUCAACUAGAUUGAUUACUUCAAUUGACAACUAUUAAUUUUUUAUAUUUGAUCUAACUCAUCCUUACAAACUGGUGUUUCUCUUUUUAGACUCGUUUCCGACCUUAUUACUUUUCCAUUAGGGACUUAGGUUUUUUCUAAUAAAAACAUUUGGGACAUUUUUCACAGCAGUCAUUUUACAGUCAGACAAAUUCUUAUUCUGCAUUCACCCAAUAACCCAUAACAGUAACCCAUAAUAGCAUGUGCCUUUCACAGUCAGACAAACAAUAAAAUAUUAACAGCUUAAACUUUUUGAGAAUCUGAGCAUAUUUUAAAGAAGAUCAUAUGGAUACAUAUUCACUCAUGAAUAUUCUAUAUGAUUAAUCAAUUGAAAGAAAAAAAAUGUUGCAAUGUGUGGCCAUAUCCACAGUAAUAAUCAAACCAAAUUUUACUUGGCAUGAAAAAAAUUAUUAAAACUGCUGAAAACAGAUAACUGUGCCUAUUUCUUCUACAUAUACCAAGUUAAAUGUAAGGAGUUUCAACAGAGCUCGUGAAAGGAAAUGUAGGAGAAUACCUUUAGAUUUCGCUUCACCAAAACUCUUCUGUAACUCUGCUCGUGCAAACAAACGAGUGUUGUUCCAAGGGCUAAAAAUGAAUAUAAAUAAAAAUAAGUGUAGUAAGCAAAGGUUUACAGAUUUACAAUUACAAAGAAUAAAUUGUGAUGAUUCCUAAAAUCGAAAAAGGGAAAGGACGAACUAACAUUAUGAGUAUUCGAAGAAUUGCUGCUCUGUCAAGUUUCUCCAGUUCAGCUUGACUCGAUAAAAUUAGUUCAUCUUGAAAUUCGAAUUGAGUUUGAUAUAAACCUUCUUUUUAGCUCAAGCUCGGCUCUUCCAAGUCCGCGAACAACACAGUUCAUCUUGUGAGCUCAAAUCACACAAUUCAAUAGUAAAGUUUCACCUUUUAAAUUGAUAAUUUAAUAGUAAUUACCAAACAAAAGUACAGUAAUUUUCUAGAUAUAUUUUUGUUAACGAAAAAUUGGAAGUGCAAAGCCAUCAUUAUGCCUUCACUGACAUCCUAACUAUAUUGGUAUAAAUUGUCUAAUUGAAAGAAAAAAUAUAUAUAAAGGAGGCCUUUGAAAAAUUCCUAUUCCUUUAGAUAAACCUCGCUAUUGUGCUUUAAAUAAUUAUGAAUUAUAUGUCCACUAUACAUAAUCCUCAGCAAAAUAGAAUCGAUAAACAAAAUUUUAACCUUAAAAUCUACCUAUCAUCCUAUCAUAAACAUAUUCAUCCGGCAAUUAAAAUAGAUAGAACCGUUGAACAACAAACCAUUGUAUUAUUAACCAACAAUAAUGUUUCGGACUAGGUCAAGGUCCAAUCCGAAAAGGGUCCAUGGUCUAGCUAUCAUAACAUACCGUGUCCCAGAGACGCACCGGACAAAUUGUUGCCAUAAAUGUACAGUUGAGUAUAGUAGACUUCAAAGUGAGGGAUAUAUUUGAAUGUAGAAUUGAAAUAAAAUAAGGGUCGUGUAAACUAGUAUCAUGGGCACUAGUUAAGGAACUAAAAUAAGUAAGUUUUAUAUUAAAAACAACACAUUUUAUAUUUCAAGAAUUUGACGACACAAUUUCCAAAGUAUUUUUACUAUCUUUACUUCUUUAACUAGUGCCUAGGGUAUAUUUCUCUUUUACAAAUGUGAAACUUAAUAUUUGAUGGAGAGAGUAAAUAAUUUUGAGGAUGAAUAAGCCCUCUUUCCAGUUUAGUCACCAAACAAUAUACAAAUACAUAAUAAAUAGUUUUGGAAGUAUAUGAAAAAACGUCAUUUUAGUUUCUAAAGCACAUGAAUUUUUGUUCCGUAGUCCCUAGCAUCAUUAAAAUAGGCACUACAAUAUUUCAUAUAUUUUAGAAUGGGUAGUCAGAAUAAUUUCAGUGUUAAAUUGAAGAUGUACUCUUUUCAGAAUAAUUUCAGUGUUAGAAACUUAGAAUCAAAAGAUAUGUUCGUUAACAGAUCCAAAAUAGUAAUAACUAAGUGACAGUCUUGUCUUUUCUUUGGGAUAAUAAAAAAUAAAGGUGAUGCCAAAAUUUCAACAGUUCUACCUAUUUUAAUUAUUCUGGUCUCAGCCUGCACCUUGGAUCAAAUACAAAUUCAAGCUCCAAAACGCUUUGGGUCACAACCGUUCCAAAGUGCUUAGGGACGCUGCUCCAAAUGUCAAUAUGAAUGAGUAAUUCAUAUAGUUAAUAUAGCCAGCCAGCCUUAUAUAAUAUCAAUAUAUGUCAUGUUUCCUAGAAGAUGAGUUUCAAGUGAAAUAAACUUAUCAAUAUGCUAAAUUGGAGUUACAUUGAUAUAUUAGUUUUCUUAAUAAUGUGCUAUCUAUUAGUGUUUUCUUAAUAAUGUACGUCUAUCUAAUAUGUACUCUAUUUCAAAUAUAAUGUGUUCAGUUAGACAGUGCAUGGUCAGGAAAGUGUAGUAUGAAUUUAAGGUAUAACAUGCGAUCUUAGUACCAUGCAAUUAAGAUUAUGAGAGACAGGUCAGGAAAAACCACCAACCCCAGUAAAGAUUUACUCGUGGGAAUUCUGACUUGAACCAAGUAAGUGCGGCAAAAUAUCCAACCAUCUAUGUCAACUCCCCAACCAUCUAUGUCAACU